GACGUAGGGGGCCAGCGUUGCUCGGAAUUACUGGGCGUAAAGGGUUCGUAGGCGGUGCGGCAAGUCGGGAGUGAAAUCUCUGGGCUUAACUCAGGGGCUGCUUCCGAAACUGCCGUGCUUGAGUGCGGGAGAGGCGAGUGGAAUUGCAGGUGUAGCGGUGAAAUGCGUAGAUAUCAGGAGGAACACCGGUGGCGAAGGCGGGUCUCUGGGCCGUAACUGACGCUGAGGAGCGAAAGCGUGGGGAGCGAACAGG
rnacentral:rRNA from 1 species